UCUGAAAGCUUGCCUACUGCUCACUAGCCAUCUCGAAGGUAGGGAGGGUCAACUCGCACUACGAACCGAGACCGUCUGCCGGGACCCAAAAUAGGCAAUCCCUUGGGACCCAAAAUAGGCAAUCCCACGUGACCAACUCCGGAGCGCACUUCUUGUGUGAGGCUUCCAUCAUAAGCUAAAAACAGACCGUGAGCAUGAUACAAUUCUCCCCACUCUAGGGUACCCUAUCCUCUAGGGUUACUACCAUCAUGUGGUCCAUAGGCGUCGUAUACACGAAGUUCAACAUGUAUCACUUGUUUUCUUAUACACUAUCAACUAGAUUGCCACUCGUCCAUUGUUUACUAUCGA
rnacentral:lncRNA from 1 species